CGCCAGCAACUCCUAUCCCUACCGCCUCGUGGUACCGGCCGCAAACUAUGAGCAACCUUAGGGAAGAUCAGGUAUAAUUAACCCCGGUGGGAACUUUGGUCGUUGGCUGACAGGGAAGG
rnacentral:ribozyme from 1 species